rfam:Schistosoma haematobium scaffold650_27, whole genome shotgun sequence.
GUACUGUUGAAAAAUCCCACAAUAGGACGAAAUGGCCGUCCAGUAC